GAUGAACGCUAGCUACAGGCUUAACACAUGCAAGUCGAGGGGCAGCACAGUGUAGCAAUACACGGGUGGCGACCGGCGCACGGGUGCGUAACGCGUAUCCAACCUUCCCGUUACUCUUGGAUAGCCUUCCGAAAGGGAGAUUAAUACAAGAUGGUAUUCAAAUUCCGCAUGUCAUUUGAAUUAAAGAUUUAUCGGUAACGGAUUGGGAUGCGUGACAUUAGAUAGUAGGGGGGGUAACGGACCACCUAGUCUACGAUGUCUAGGGGUUCUGAGAGGAAGGUCCCCCACACUGGAACUGAGACACGGUCCAGACUCCUACGGGAGGCAGCAGUGAGGAAUAUUUGUCAAUGGUCGGAAGACUGAACCAGCCAAGUAGCGUGAAGGAUGAAGGUUCUAUGGAUUGUAAACUUCUUUUAUACGGGAAUAAAACCUCCCACGUGUGGGAGCUUGUAUGUACCGUAUGAAUAAGCAUCGGCUAACUCCGUGCCAGCAGCCGCCGUAACAC
rnacentral:rRNA from 1 species